rnacentral:rRNA from 1 species
GGGAUAAACGCUGGCGGCGUGCCUAACACAUGCAAGUCGAACGCGCUUUUUUCGCAAGAGGAGAGCGAGUGGCGGACGGGUGAGUAACACAUGGGUACCUACCUUGGAGUGAGGGAUACCGGCGAGAAAUCGCCGACAAUACCGCAUACGCUUCUCUUCACCGGGAAGCAAAGUUGCGCAAGCGACGCUCUGAGAUGGGCCUGUGGCCGAUUAGCUAGUUGGUGGGGUAACGCCUACCAAGGCGACGAUCGGUAGCUGGUCUGAGAGGACGAUCAGCCUACACUGGGAUUGAGAACGGCCCAGACUCCUACGGGGGGCAGCAGUGAGGAAUUUUGCUCAAUGGACGAAAGUCUGAAGCAGCAACGCCGCGUGAGGGAUGAAGGCCUUCGGGUUGUAAACCUCUUUUAUCAGGGACGAUAAUGACGGUACCUGAUGAAUAAGUCACGGCUAACUACGUGCCAGCAGCCGC